UGGGGAAUAUUGCACAAUGGGCGCAAGCCUGAUGCAGCAACGCCGCGUGAGGGACGACGGCCUUCGGGUUGUAAACCUCUUUUAGUAGGGAAGAAGCGAAAGUGACGGUACCUGCAGAAAAAGCACCGGCUAACUACGUGCCAGCAGCCGCGGUAAUACGUAGGGUGCAAGCGUUAUCCGGAAUUAUUGGGCGUAAAGAGCUCGUAGGCGGUUUGUCGCGUCUGCUGUGAAAACUGGAGGCUCAACCUCCAGCCUGCAGUGGGUACGGGCAGACUAGAGUGCGGUAGGGGAGAUUGGAAUUCCUGGUGUAGCGGUGGAAUGCGCAGAUAUCAGGAGGAACACCGAUGGCGAAGGCAGAUCUCUGGGCCGUAACUGACGCUGAGGAGCGAAAGCAUGGGGAGCGAAC
rnacentral:rRNA from 1 species